rnacentral:pre_miRNA from 1 species
AAACUACUUCCUCCGUCUGAAAAUACUUGUCAUCAAAAUGGAUAAAAAGAGAUGUAUCUAGAACUAAUAUACAUCUAGAUACAUCCUCUUUUCUUCAUUUUGAUGACAAGUAUUUUCGGACGGAGGGAGUAGAUC